UUGGAGGUCAGAAGCUUGUCUCUUUCAAAGUGCAAAGGUAAUCUUCCAACUCUGAAAAUGGAUACCGUACUUCUCCUAAAGCUGCAGCCACAUCCCACCUAACUGAUGUGAUUCAGAACUUUUAUUCUGCAACAUGCAAUUCAUCCACUUCGAGCUGUGGUGUGGAAGUCCCUGUAAAUAUAAAGCAGGGAGUGUGGUGGUGUGGCACAUAUCAGCCUGACCUGAGCCGUGUACCUGGUUUAUGAAGUCCUUUUAAGUUACUUUAAUUUUCAUCUUGUGAAGUCCUUUUAAGUUAUUUUAGUUUUUGUCUUGUGGUGCUGGGGCUCAAACCUGACUCUUGCGCAUGCUAGACAGAGGUCUUACCACUGGCCUUACCACCAAACCCCGGCCCAGCCCUUCCGGGCCCUGACUGUCUGGACAGCAGACAGAGAGCAACUGGGGCAGAAGAGGAGGAGGCAGGCAGGGGCCUGUGCCCCAGGCGUGGCAGUGCUGAGGUGGACUCUCCAGACUUUCAGAAUUGGUGCUUAUUUUCCCUUGAUCAGCACCACACUUUGGGCUUCUCCAGAUCACAAGCAGGCACCCCCCACCUUCCUGUAUCCUGGGGUGUGGCUAUCCUGAGACUUAGCUCUCUCACCAAUGGCAGAUACUUAAUCUCACCACCAUCAGUAGGCAAGGCAGGUCCCAGGUCUACACUCUGCAAACGAGGGGUCUCGAGCUUGGAGAAGUGAAAAAAGAAGAAGAAGCAGAAGAAGCAGAAGAAGCAGAAGAAGCACGCAAGGAGCCGCGGAGAGCGGACCGGUAGAGGCUUCGGGACAGACUGUAGGGAGAAGCACGCAAGGAGCCGCGGGGAGCGGACCAACAGAGGCUUCGGCCGGGAGGAUUCCCGGGGCAGGCUGUACGGAGAAGGAAAAUAAAAGAAAAGGUUGUCCACUGCCA